UCACAAAUGAGUUCCUCCUUACACCGAUACAAAAUUCCAGAGGAAGAGCGUGUUUCGCCUAGGUUUCGCAUGUGAGCAACACCAAAUAUAUAUUAGUUGUUCUCAACAAAUUCGAUGUGCAAUAGAAGACUAUGUUUGAGGAAAGCUAUUUAGGACAUGUCGUAGGUUGCCAGAACUCAAAUUAUAUGGGCAAUUAGUUUAUAAAAUGGUUAAUAAAUCAGUCAUUUGAGGAAAACGUUUCGAGGCUUGAUUCAAGGUAAAUGAACGGUUCUCAAGAUUUGGAAUGCCGAAGUUCACACUAAUCACUGGCUUGAAAUGUGGUGAAUUACCUAGAGGGUCUACUUCCGACAACAUUGUAGAGAAAGCCCAACUACGGGACAAAAUGUUUAUCAAUAGAGAAUGGAUAACCUGUAAUGAUCUGGAGAAGGUUUUCCUAAAUUGUGGCAACCAUAAUUACCAACUUGGGUUGGCACUAAUUAUUGAAGGGAUUUUCAAUUCGGGAGGCCGAAAUAUGGGGAUUCAUACUGAGACUCUCUCCAUUGUGGACGACUUAGAUUUCUUCAAUGCCUACCCAUGGGGGACUGUGUGUUUUAAACUUCUCAUCAAAUCACUGCUCCGUGGAUGGGAGAGAAAGGCGGACUUGGCAAAGGUCAAUGAUUGUGAUAAGAUAUCC
rnacentral:lncRNA from 1 species